UCCAAUCUACCUUGUUGCAUGGAAGAGAAAAAAUAAGAGUUCACCAGCCCUCUGAGAACUGUAUUUAACUCAGCCUCAGCCAUCAUAAAAGAGCUCAGAUGUUGUGGUGGAAAGAGUACCAGAUUCAGAAUCAUCCUUAACAGAAAUCGAUACCUGGGUCACUAUAAAGGAGACUUGCUUUCAACACUGGUCAUCUCACCAGGGAGGUAAGUCUGUAAAAAUUUUUUUAAUUCCCUGAAGCCAAU